ensembl:snRNA U6 U6 spliceosomal RNA
GUGCUCGCUUCGGCAGCACAUGUACUAAAAUUGGAACGAUACAGAGAAGACGAGCAUGGCCCCUGCGCAAGGAUGACAUGCAAAUUCGUGAAGCGUUCCGUAUUUUA